GAUGAACGCUGGCGGCGUGCUUAACACAUGCAAGUCGAACGGAAAGGCCCUGCUUUUGUGGGGUGCUCGAGUGGCGAACGGGUGAGUAACACGUGAGUAACCUGCCCUUGACUUUGGGAUAACUUCAGGAAACUGGGGCUAAUACCGGAUAGGAGCUCCUGCUGCAUGGUGGGGGUUGGAAAGUUUCGGCGGUUGGGGAUGGACUCGCGGCUUAUCAGCUUGUUUGUGGGGUAGGGGCUUACCAAGGCUUUGACGGGUAGCCGGCCUGGGAGGGCGGCCGGCCACAAUGGGACUGAGGUACGGCCCAGACUCCUAAGGGAGGCAAGAGUGGGGAAAAUUGCAAAAUGGGGGGAAGCCUGAUGCAGCAACGCCGGGUGCGGGAUGACGGGCUUCGGGUUGUAAACCGCUUUCGCCUGUGACGAAGCGUGAGUGACGGUAAUGGGUAAAGAAGCAACGGCUAACUACGUG
rnacentral:rRNA from 1 species